rnacentral:piRNA from 1 species
UCAUCACAGUGGUUGGGAACAUAAAGGA